rnacentral:sRNA from 1 species
GCUGGGUGUGGUGAUGCAUGCCUAUAAUCCCAGUGACUCAGGAGGCUGAGGCAGGAGGGUUGCGAAUUCAAAGCCAGCCUCAGCCACUUAGCAGGCCCUAAGCAACUCAGUGAGACCCUGUCUCUA